rnacentral:rRNA from 1 species
GAAAAGCAGGGGAUCGCAAGACCUUGCGCUUUUGGAGCGGCCGAUGUCUGAUUAGCUAGUUGGUGGGGUAAUGGCCUACCAAAGCUUCGAUCAGUAGCUGGUCUGAGAGGACGGCCAGCCACACUGGGACUGAGACACGGCCCAGACUCCUACGGGAGGCAGCAGUGGGGAAUUUUGGACAAUGGGCGCAAGCCUGAUCCAGCCAUGCCGCGUGAGUGAAGAAGGCCUUCGGGUUGUAAAGCUCUUUCAGCCGGGAAGAAAAGGUUGCGAUUAAUAAUCGCAAUUGAUGACGGUACCGGAAGAAGAAGCACCGGCUAACUACGUGCCAGCAGCCGCGGUAAUACGUAGGGUGCGAGCGUUAAUCGGAAUUACUGGGCGUAAAGGGUGCGCAGGCGGUUUUGUAAGUCAGAUGUAAAUCC